rnacentral:rRNA from 1 species
ACGGGAGGCAGCAGUGAGGAAUAUUGGUCAAUGGUCGGAAGACUGAACCAGCCAUGCCGCGUGAAGGAUUAAGGCCCUAUGGGUCGUAAACUUCUUUUGUACGGGAGCAAUAAGAGCCACGUGUGGUUCGAUGAGAGUACCGUACGAAUAAGCAUCGGCUAACUCCGUGCCAGCAGCCGCGGUAAUACGGAGGAUGCAAGCGUUAUCCGGAUUUAUUGGGUUUAAAGGGUGCGUAGGCGGUAUGGUAAGUCAGCGGUGAAAUGUCCACGCUUAACGUGGAACUCGCCGUUGAUACUGUCGUACUGGAAUUCGGUUGCCGUGGGAGGAAUGUGUAGUGUAGCGGUGAAAUGCAUAGAUAUUACACAGAACACCAAUUGCGAAGGCAUCUCACGAAACCGCGAUUGACGCUGAGGCACGAAAGUGCGGGGAUCAAACAGGAUUAGAUACCCUGUA